rnacentral:rRNA from 1 species
CUGGAAUUGCUAGUAACGGCAGGUCAGCAUACUGCCGUGAAUACGUUCCCGGGCCCUUGUACACACCGCCCGUCACACCAUGAGAGUUGGGAAUACCCGAAGCCUGUGAGCUAACUGUAAGGAGGCAGCAGUCGAAGGUAGAAUCAAUGAUUGGGGUGAAGUCGUAACAAGGUACC